CUGACAGCCUUGGAGAUUGAAAUCCACCAUUUAUCCAUUAAACAGGUGCAGCAGUGGCAAUGUAGGUAUCCCCAUGUUGCUGCUGUCAGAGAUCUUCAGCCAUACCUGGAAGGAUAACCUCUAAAGAUGAAAGAAUAAGUUGUCUCCAGGCCUUUCUUCUAUAAGCGAUG
ensembl:misc_RNA